rnacentral:rRNA from 1 species
AGAGUUUGAUCAUGGCUCAGAACGAACGCUGGCGGAAGGCUUCAUACAUGCAAGUCGAGCGGAAAGGCCCCUUCGGGGGUACUCGAGCGGCGAACGGGUGAGUAACAGGUGGGUAAUCUGCCUUUCGGAGGGGGAUAACGGCUGGAAACGGCCGCUAAUACCCCGUACGGUUGCGAAGCUCUCGGGCUUUGCAAAGAAAGGGGCCUUUAAAGCCCCGCCGAAAGAUGAGCCCGCCCCCCAUUAGCUAGUUGGCGGGGUAAUGGCCCACCAAGGCUGUGAUGGGUAGCCGAGCUGAGAGGUUGAUCGGCCACACUGGAACUGAGACACGGUCCAGACACCUACGGGUGGCAGCAGUAGGGAAUAUUGCGCAAUGGGCGAAAGCCUGACGCAGCCAUGCCGCGUGGAUGAUGAAGGCCUUCGGGUCGUAAAGUCCUUUUCUGAGGGAAGAACUGCCGGGGGAGGAAAUGCCCUUGGCUUGACGGUACCUCAGGAAUAAGCAACGGCUAACUCCGUGCCAGCAGCCGCGGUAAUACGGAGGUUGCAAGCGUUGUUCGGAAUGACUGGGCGUAAAGGGAGCGCAGGCGGCCAAGUCAGUCUGAAGUGAAAGCCCGGGGCUUAACCCCGGAAUAGCUUUGGAUACUGCCUGGCUUGAGUGUGCGAUAGGAAAGCGGAAUUCCAGGUGUAGCGGUGAAAUGCGUAGAUAUCUGGAGGAACACCGGUGGCGAAAGCGGCUUUCUGGCGCAUAACUGACGCUGAGGCUCGAAAGCGUGGGGAGCGAACGGGAUUAGAUACCCCGGUAGUCCACGCCGUAAACGUUGUGCACUAGGUGUGGGAGGUAUCGACCCCUUCCGUGCCGAAGCUAACGCAUUAAGUGCACCGCCUGGGGAGUACGGUCGCAAGACUGAAACUCAAAGGAAUUGACGG